AGUAUGUUGAAUAAGCAACAUGACAUAAGAUAUAUGUCAUUCCAUUCACUAGGAAUGCACAAAAAUCCAAUCCAGAUCAAGCAAUUGAAUAGAGAUAAGAAAUGAAUGGAAGAAAGGAAGGCAUACCUUGAUUGCAGGCUUGACAGUAAGCAAGCAGGAGAUUUUUCCCCUUUCGAUGGACACAACUUUGAGAACACCUCCAAUCAGGUCGGAGAACGAGUCCUUGACGUCGAAUUGUGGUUCCAUCGUUUUGUUAGUUCCCAAGUGAUUAAAAAAUCCGACGGUUGCUUCCAAGUCCUCUGCACGAAUGUCUUCGGAGGCAGCAGCCGUCACCGGAAUUCUAUCGCCGGCCGCCAUCGUUCUUCCCCUGCUCCCGGAAUCAAAAUUAGCUGAUCUU